rnacentral:rRNA from 1 species
AUACGGAGGGUGCAAGCGUUACUCGGCAUCACUGGGCGUAAAGCGCGCGCAGGCGGCUAUUUAAGUUGGAUGUGAAAGCCUACCGCUUAACCGUAGAACUGCAUCCAAAACUAUUUAGCUAGAGUGUGGGAGAGGAAGAUGGAAUUAGUUGUGUAGGGGUAAAAUCCGUAGAGAUAACUAGGAAUACCAAAAGCGAAGGCAAUCUUCUGGAACACUACUGACGCUGAGGCGCGAAAGCGUGGGGAGCAAACAGGAUUAGAGACCCUAGUAGUCC